GACGUAGGGCGCGAGCGUUGUCCGGAUUUAUUGGGCGUAAAGAGCUCGUAGGCGGCUUGUCGCGUCGUCCGUGAAAACCCACAGCUCAACUGUGGGCUUGCGGUCGAUACGGGCAGGCUAGAGUUCGGUAGGGGAGACUGGAAUUCCUGGUGUAGCGGUGAAAUGCGCAGAUAUCAGGAGGAACACCUGAGGCGAAGGCGGGUUACUGGGCUGAUACUGACACUGAGGUGCGAAAGCGUGGGGAGCAAACAGG
rnacentral:rRNA from 1 species